UAUACACCACUUAUUUGAUUAUUUCUUCAAGAAUUGAAGACAUAAAGAAAAAAAAGCAAGAAAAGGAACCACAUUUUUCAACCUUCUGAUAUCGGGAAUUGUAGAGAUUGUACAUAAGAAUGAAGGUAUACAGAGAGGCCUUAAAUUAUUUAAAAUGGUUAAAUUUUCUAUUUUCCAUGUCUCAAUUCUGAUGCUAUUGGCCAUGAGCAGUUUUGAAUUAAGCAUUUCCUUUAUAUAGAG
rnacentral:misc_RNA from 1 species